UGGGGAAUCUUGCGCAAUGGGCGAAAGCCUGACGCAGCGACGCCGCGUGAGUGAUGAAGGCCCUCGGGUUGUAAAGCUCUGUGGAGGGGGAAGAAUAAGGGUAGCCCAAUACGCUACUUGAUGACGGUACCCCUUUAGCAAGCACCGGCUAACUCUGUGCCAGCAGCCGCGGUAAGACAGAGGGUGCAAACGUUGUUCGGAAUUACUGGGCGUAAAGCGCGUGUAGGCGGCUUGGCAAGUCGGGUGUGAAAGCCCUGGGCUCAACCCAGGAAGUGCACUCGAAACUGCUUCGCUUGAGUAUCGGAGAGGAAAGCGGAAUUCUCGGUGUAGAGGUGAAAUUCGUAGAUAUCGAGAGGAACACCGGUGGCGAAGGCGGCUUUCUGGACGGUUACUGACGCUGAGACGCGAAAGCGUGGGGAGCAAACAGG
rnacentral:rRNA from 1 species